GCCCAUGACACCUUGCUUUAGCCACACCCCCACGGGGAAUUCCAGCAGUGAUAAACAUUAAGCCAUAAGUGAAAGCUUGACUUAAUUAAAGUUAAAUAGGGCCGGUAAAUCUCGUGCCAGCCACCGCGGUUAAACGGGAGGCUCAAGUUGAUAGACAUCGGCGUAAAGCGUGGUUAAGGGCCCAACUUUUAUACUAAAGCCGAACGCUCUUAGAGCAGUUAUACGUACUGAGAGUAAGAAGAUCAAUUACGAAAGUAGCUUU
rnacentral:rRNA from 1 species